GCUUUCGUGGUUCAGUGGUCAAUACGCUGGAUGCGUAACCGAGAGGUCUGUGGUUCGAUUCCCGGCGAGAGCA
rnacentral:tRNA from 1 species